rnacentral:rRNA from 1 species
CAAUAGCGUAUAUUAAAGUUGUUGCAGUUAAAAAGCUCGUAGUUGGAUUUCUGGUGGGAGCGAUCGGUCUGGCGCUUAGCGCGAGUACUUGCAUCGUCCCCGGCCAUCCUUGGGGAGAGUCUGUCUGGCAUUAGGUUGUCGGGCAGAGGAUCCUCAUCGUUUACUGUGAAAAAAUUAGAGUGUUCAAAGCAGGCUUAUGCCGUUGAAUAUAUUAGCAUGGAAUAAUAAGAUAGGACUUUGGUACUAUUUUGUUGGUUUGCACACCAAAGUAAUGAUUAAUAGGGACAGUUGGGGGUAUUCGUAUUCCGUUGUCAGAGGUGAAAUUCUUGGAUUUACGGAAGGCGAACUACUGCGAAAGCAUUUACCAAGGAUGUUUUCAUUAA